rnacentral:tRNA from 1 species
GAGGAUGUGGCUCAGUUGAUAGAGUGCUUAUCUAGCAUGCAUGAGGUCCUGUGUUUGAUCUACAGCACUGUGC